GGGAGAGGAGGUUUGGACGAGGAUCUGUCGGCUCGGUUCUGAUGACCUCCUGCCUCCUGCGCUCCGUGUGGUCAUCAGCUUCUCCUCAGGGGUUUGUCUCCAAAAGGACAGACGUGCCACAGUCCGACUUUUGACAAAGUUCUUCAAAAUUUCACCAGAAGGGAGGCGCUCUGAGGCCACGCCCCCAGCUGCCACGCCCCCUCCCUUACAUAUUUACCUGAACUUCCUCUGUGAGCUGAACCUCCUGCAGAGGACGGACUGAAGCUCAGACUCAGCACAGAGACAGCAGCCAGCAUGAACAAGGACAAGAACAUGUUUUCAGCUGCGACCAAAGCAGUGGUCCGAUCACUGGGCGCUCGCGACCUGAUCAAUAACAGCAGCGUGAGCGAUCAGUGGCAGCUGCUCACUCUGGUCAGAGUCACAGAGAGCCCGUUCCCGCUCAGCCGCACCAAGUACAUGAAGCUGGACUGCACUCUGACCGACCUGAUAGACUCAGACUUCAGCCCACUACGUAUCACACUCACACACCCGGGGUCCAGGUCCAUCAGAGGGUCUUGUUUCUGAGGAAAGUCCUCCAUAAACCUGGUGGCUGUCUCUCCAGAGCUCGAGGACAGGGUGUUGGUGGAGGGUUUCAGCAUGUCCAGGCAGAGCGGCGGGUGUGGCAGAGCAGGAGGAGGCGUGGAUGAAGCCAGACUCCACCUGAGAGCUGGCCUGGACUCUGUGGACUCCAUGUCUGCGGUGUCUCUGAUGAGCCAGGAAGUGGAUGUGAUAACUCUGAGUGAGCAGCUGAAUGACCUGAAGGUCAGGCCAAACAAAGUGAAGAGGAUUACACUGAAUGAGCGUCAGCACCUGGCCUUUGUGAGGCAGAGAGUCUACAACUUGGCCCCCGUAUCCUUCACCAGCAAGGCGGAAAAAGACGUGUCCAUGUGCGGACGCUUCAUAGAGUAUGUGUGUCUUCAGGGGAAGGCACAGACGAAGCACCUGACAGGCUAUAAAUUACCUGAGAACAGCACCAUUGCUUAUGGCCUCAAAAUGAUACACAUUGAAGACGGAGUGCUGGACAUCCCCAUCGAUCACACGAGGAGUCUCACUGAGGAAAUCAGCCUGACCAGUCGCCAAAUCCUGCAGUGGUGUGUCAAAGAUAUAACAGACAAAGAGGUUCUGCUGCAGCCUCUGGCAGGUCUUCCUGAGUCCACUCGCGGUGAGCUGCUGAGGACACUGAGACAGCUGCUGGAGGACGGAGACGCUCUGUCCCAGCUGGAGGACACGAUGGAUCAGUGCAGUGAUGGAGCGUCAGAGCGUCCACAGUCUCAGCUGGCGGCCUCCUUCAUGGACCUCCUCGAUGUGUCCCAGGCCUCCUCAGCUCUGAGGGACGCCGCCCACCUUCUGGUCAACAUCAUGAAAGCGUUACCGGACGGUCUUCCUGCUCUUCUGUCCUCCUGCAGUCUGGACACACUGGAAGUCUUCAAACACAUGGUGGACAGCCUGAAAAAGGAUGGACAGGCCCAGCUCCCUCGGGCACUGCCCCGUCCCCUGCAGGAGGACGGCGAGCUGCGGCGGGCGGCUUACUUCCUGUGUCUCACCGAUCAUCUGGCAGACAUGCGGGACGACUGGGAGUUUGCGGAGCUGCGUCCAGGAGACCUGCUGGAGGUUCUGUGUCUCGCUGUGCUGGGACUCAGCCUGCUGCAGACCCAUUGUGAAGCCUGAUUAACAGCUGUCCACACCAUGUCCACACACAGCAGCAUGUCCACACACAGCAGCAUGUCCACACACAGCAGCAUGUCCACACACAGCAGCAUGUCCACACACAGCAGCAUGUCCACACACAGCAGCAUGUCCACACCAUGUCCACACACACACAGCAGCAUGUCCACACCAUGUCCACACACAGCAGCAUGUCCACACACAGCAGCAUGUCCACACACAGCAGCAUGUCCACACACAGCAGCAUGUCCACACACAGCAGCAUGUCUGUAUUUCUGCCUCUGACCUUUGAUCAGGUGAUUGUAUGGAUUGUA
rnacentral:lncRNA from 1 species